GACGAAGGAUGCAAGCGUUAUCCGGAUUCAUUGGGUUUAAAGGGUGCGUAGGCGGACUUGUAAGUCAGUGGUGAAAGCUCUUUGCUUAACAAAGAAACUGCCAUUGAUACUGCUAGUCUAGAGUAUAGAUGACGUUGGCGGAAUAUGACAUGUAGUGGUGAAAUACUUAGAUAUGUCAUAGAACACCGAUUGCGAAGGCAGCUAACGAAACUAUAACUGACGCUGAGGCACGAAAGUGCGGGGAUCAAACAGG
rnacentral:rRNA from 1 species